rnacentral:rRNA from 1 species
CUGCUGCCUUCCGUAGGAGUUUGGGCCGUGUCUCAGUCCCAAUGUGGCCGUUCACCCUCUCAGGCCGGCUACUGAUCGUUGCCUUGGUAGGCCAUUACCCCACCAACUAGCUAAUCAGACGCGGAACCAUCGUAUACCACCAGAGUUUUUNACACCGCUUCAUGCGAAGCUGUGCGCUUAUGCGGUAUUAGCACCUAUUUCUAAUGUUAUCCCCCAGUAUACGGCAGGUUUUCCACGCGUUACUCACCCGUCCGCCA